rnacentral:misc_RNA from 1 species
UCCGGUUUGUCACCGGCAGUCUCGCGUGAGUCCCCAACUUAAUGCUGGCAACACGCGACAAGGGUUGCGCUCGUUGCGGGACUUAACCCAACACCUCACGGCACGAGCUGACGACAGCCAUGCAGCACCUGUGCUGGCUCCCCGAAGGGUCCUUCACCUUUCGGAUCCGUACCACCAGCAUGUCAAGCCCUGGUAAGGUUUUUCGCGUUGCAUCGAAUUAAUCCACAUAAUCCACCGCUUGUGCGGGUCCCCGUCAAUUCCUUUGAGCUUAAGCCUUGCGGCCGUACUCCCCAGGCGGUCAACUUCACGCGUUAGCUUCGUUACCAAGGAAUUACUUCCCCGACAACCAGUUGACAUCGUUUAGGGCGUGGACUAC